AUUAGCAAAGCUAUAACAAAAAUAGGUUCACGUAAGAAAGUGCUUAUUAGUUUGCGUAGGAAUGCCCGUUUUAGUUUACGGAAGAGUGCACGUAGAACAACAAAAGGGGUUAUUCAUGUGAAAGCCAGUUUCAACAAUACCGAAAUCAUAACAUUAACAUUUUUAUAUUCGAAUUUGAGAUAUAUAUACCGGACCUGA
rnacentral:rRNA from 1 species